rnacentral:tRNA from 1 species
ACUUAAAUAGCUUAUAAGUAGAGCAUGACACUGAAGAUGUUAAGGAGGUAAAAUAUCUUUAAGUA